rnacentral:tRNA from 1 species
GCGGAUGUGGCGGAAUUGGCAGACGCACUAGACUUAGGAUCUAGCGGGAUACCGUGGGGGUUCGACUCCUCUCAUCCGCACCA